UACGGAGGAUGCAAGCGUUAUCCGGAAUGAUUGGGCGUAAAGCGUCCGCAGGUGGCUGUGUAAGUCUGCUGUUAAAGAGUGAGGCUCAACCUCAUAAAGGCAGUGGAAACUACAUAGCUAGAGUACGUUCGGGGCAGAGGGAAUUCCUGGUGUAGCGGUGAAAUGCGUAGAGAUCAGGAAGAACACCAGUGGCGAAGGCGCUCUGCUAGGCCGUAACUGACACUGAGGGACGAAAGCUAGGGGAGCGAAUGGG
rnacentral:rRNA from 1 species